UACGAAGGGGGCUAGCGUUGCUCGGAAUUACUGGGCGUAAAGCGCACGUAGGCGGGUCGUUAAGUCGGGGGUGAAAUCCUGGAGCUCAACUCCAGAACUGCCUUCGAUACUGGCGAUCUUGGGUCCGGGAGAGGUGAGUGGAACUCCGAGUGUAGAGGUGAAAUUCGUAGAUAUUCGGAAGAACACCAGUGGCGAAGGCGGCUCACUGGCCCGGUACUGACGCUGAGGUGCGAAAGCGUGGGGAGCAAACAGG
rnacentral:rRNA from 1 species